rnacentral:rRNA from 1 species
CCUACGGGGGGCAGCAGUGGGGAAUAUUGGACAAUGGGGGCAACCCUGAUCCAGCCAUGCCGCGUGUGUGAAGAAGGCCCUCGGGUUGUAAAGCACUUUCAGUGAGGAAGAACGCCUGGUGGUUAAUACCCAUCAGGAAAGACAUCACUCACAGAAGAAGCACCGGCUAACUCCGUGCCAGCAGCCGCGGUAAUACGGAGGGUGCGAGCGUUAAUCGGAAUUACUGGGCGUAAAGCGCGCGUAGGUGGCUUGAUAAGCCGGUUGUGAAAGCCCCGGGCUCAACCUGGGAACGGCAUCCGGAACUGUUAAGCUAGAGUGCAGGAGAGGAAGGUAGAAUUCCCGGUGUAGCGGUGAAAUGCGUAGAGAUCGGGAGGAAUACCAGUGGCGAAGGCGGCCUUCUGGACUGACACUGACACUGAGGUGCGAAAGCGUGGGUAGCAAACAGGAUUAGAUACCCUUGUAGUC